rnacentral:rRNA from 1 species
UAUACCCGGGCUACACGCGAGCUACAAUGGUUGGUACAAUGGGUAUCUAACCCCGAAAGGGGACGGGAAUCUCCUAAACCAAUCUUAGUUCGGAUUGAGGGCUGCAACUCGCCCUCAUGAAGCUGGAAUCCGUAGUAAUCGCGUUCAACAGAACGCGGUGAAUACGUCCCUGCUCCUU